GGCGACCCAAGGGUGUCUGUUAGCCCCGCCUCCGCCCCUCCCCCAUGUCCCACCUCCAGACUGCUGCCAAGCUGCUCAAGUGGUUCUAGCUGUUGGUGGGGUCCUGCAGAUGUGAUAGGCUCCUCCUCUCCAGCCCCUCCUCCCCACCCACCUCUCAGGCCCUCCUGGGAUAGCUGUCCUCCUCUGGGGCCCUGUACUUGCUCCCAGCCAUGGUGGCUAGGCUCACUGCUCUCCUCCUUUACCUCGUUUUCUCCUUGGCCAUCCUGGUCCAGACAGGAUAUGGAGACUUCGAUGGUUUUAAUCUGGAGGAUGCGCUGAAAGAAACUUCCUCAGUAAAGCGUGACUCAAACAAACAAGUCCACCAAGCAAACACAAGUGGUCGGCCAUGCACCACACUGACAAUCUUGCCUUCAGAAAAGUACACGCAUAUGAGACUAGCUGUGCCUCCAUCUACCUGUUUGUUCUGUUGUGCAAGGCUUGUGUCGUCUCGUCAUACGUGUGUCAUCUUCCUUUUUCAUUUAGAAAAUUUCACAAUUUUCAUUAUGUUGAAACCACAAGAGAACAUGCAUCUGCCUUCGCCUUUUUUCUGCUGUACAAAAAGAGAACUCCGACCCGUUUCAUUCCUCUCACUGUUUUGUUUUGAGACAGGGUCUCUUGAUUUAGCCCGAGUUGUCCUGAAAUUCUCUGUGCCGAGAAGCCCGGCUUUGACUUGGGUCCAGUGCUAGAGCAACAGUGACUCUUGGCCACUGAUGUGCAUUUCUAGCUUCAGAACCCAUGACUUUUUAUGAUUCUUCAGUGUGAUCCCCACAAUGGCCUCGGGGACCUAUACUGAGACCAUUCUCACGAUGUGACUUCUGUAAACCAUAAAGCAGC
ensembl:lncRNA